CAGUAGCCGCGGGAAUACGGAGGGUGCGAGCGUUGUUCGGAAUCACUGGGCGUAAAGCGCGUGUAGGCGGCUCGAUAAGUCUGGUGUGAAAGCCCGGGGCUCACCCCCGGAAGUGCACUGGAUACUGUCGAGCUCGAGUUCCGGAGAGGAAAGUGGAAUUCCUGGUGUAGCGGUGAAAUGCGUAGAUAUCAGGAGGAACACCGGUGGCGAAGGCGGCUUUCUGGACGGUAACUGACGCUGAGACGCGAAAGCGUGGGGAGCAAACAGGAUUAGAUACCCCCGUAGUCCCUGUCUCUUAUAC
rnacentral:rRNA from 1 species